AACGAACGCUGGCGGCAUGCCUAACACAUGCAAGUCGAACGAGACCUUCGGGUCUAGUGGCGCACGGGUGCGUAACGCGUGGGAACCUGCCCUUAGGUUCGGAAUAACUCUCCGAAAGGGGUGCUAAUACCGGAUAAUGUCUUCUGACCAAAGAUUUAUCGCCUUUGGAUGUGCCCGCGUUGGAUUAGCUAGUUGUUAGGGUAAAAGCAUACCAAGGCGACGAUCCAUAGCUGGUCUGAGAGGAUGAUCAGCCACACUGGGACUGAGACACGGCCCAGACUCCUACGGGAGGCAGCAGUGGGGAAUAGUGGAAAAUGGGCGAAAGCAUGAUCCAGCAAUGACGCGUGAGUGAUGAAGGCAGUAGGGUUGUAAAGCUUUUUUAACCGGGAUGAUAAUGACAGUACCGGGAGAAUAAGCUCCGGCUAACUACGUG
rnacentral:rRNA from 1 species